UGUUGUCUUUUUCAUUACAGCCAUUCUAGUGGGUGGGAAUUGGUAUCUCAUUGUGGUUUUAAUUUCCCUGGUGACUAAUAAUGUUGACCAUCUUUUCAUGUGCUUCAUGACUUCUGUUGAGAAAUGUCUAUUCAAGUCCAUUGCCUAUUUUUUUAUUGGAUUGUCUUUUAUUAUUAAGUCCCUGCAAUGCAAUGAAUUAUGAAAUUUAUAUUCUCUGAGGAAGCUGAAACAUUGUCAGAUAAAUGAUUUGCAAGUAUUUUCUUCUCUGGAUUGUCUCUUCACUUUCAUGAUGAUUUCCUUUGAAGAACGAACAUUUUUAAUUUUGAAGUCUAACGUGUUUUUUUCUUUUAUUGCUUGUUUUUGAUGUCUUAUCCAUUCCCUGACCUAAAAUCACAAAGAUUUACACCUGUAUGUUCUUCUGACGGUGUUGUAGUUUUAGCUCUUACAUUUUGGUCUUUGAUCCUUUUUGAGUUAAUUUUUGUAGAUUGUAUGAGUUAGGCAUCCUCAUAUUCUUGGCACCCUUGUUGAAAAUUAGUUGACCGUACACGUAACACUCUGGGUCUGCCCUUAUGCAGUAUGGUCUUGAUUACUGUAGCUUUGCAGUAUGGGGUGUGUGGAUUUAUUAAUAGCAGAUGGGAGUAGAACCGCAGCCUUGUUAAGCAGGGAUAAUGGGAAGGAAUCAGUCUAUCCUGGAUAUAGAAUAAUUCCCCUUUAUUUGUGUCUCUUUGAAAUGCAUUGUCGUAGCCCCAGUUAUUUCUUUGUUCAGACUCCCAGUGAUUUUAAGUGCUCUUCAGGUUUGAGAAAGGGCUCCAACCUGACUUCACUACCGUAACGGUAUGUGUUAUAUCAUCAUCUUCAGGCUCACCGUAUUUCAGGUGGCAGAUUUCAGGUGUUGAUUUGAUGUUGAUUUGUGAGUUGGCUUUGGUGGCAGUUUUCAGAUAGCAUCUCUCUCUUUGUUGAUGGUCACACAGCCUACUUCUCAGUUUCAGCUUCCCCUGGAGGAUGUACAUUUCAUAAUUCAUUGUAUGAAAAUCUUUACAAUGGGCCAGGCAUGGUGGAUCACACCUGUAAUCCCAGCACUUUGGGAGGCCUAGGCAGGCGGAUCACCUGAGGUCGGGAGCUCGAGACCAGCCUGACCAACAUGGAGAAACCCCGUCUCUACUAAAAAUACAAAAUUAGCUGGGCGUGGUGGUGCAUGCCUUUAAUCCCAGCUACUCCAGAGGCUGAGGCAGGAUAAUGGCUUGAACCUGGAGGCGGAGGUUGUGGUGAGCCAAGGCCUUACCAUUGCACUCCAGCCUGGCAACAAGAGCAAAACUCUGUCUCAAAUUAAAAAAAAGAAAAGAAAAGAAAAUCUUUACAAUGAAAUCCCUUAGUUCUUUCUGUUAAAGUGAGCCCAAGAACCUUCUAACUUAAUAUAUAUGUGAAAAUAAAGGUGAGUGUUCUGCUAGACUAACCUGAAAUACUCUAAACUUGGUGGUUUUUACACAGUACAGUCACAGAAGAUAGAGCAAUAAUUUUACCUGCAUGAAUUAAAUCUUAAGAUUAUAUAUUACUUUUUCUUCCUGAAUGUAUAAAUCAUCCAGUCUUGAUUAAUGUAGAAGCUAAUAGUUAUGUAAGUCUGGUGAGGAUAAACUCAUUUCUCCUCUGUUUAUUGACAUAUUGCUUAUAAUUGAAAUUAUUCUGAAGAUGAUGUCAUUGUACAGUUCUGUACUUUGGAAUAUGUAUAUAUUUACAGAAGAUCCAGGGAAGAGAAUUUGUGAUUUUAAACCUUUCUCCCACAAAUGAAGUUUAUGUAAGUUAUAUCUUAUUAAGGCUGUUUAAAAUAAUAAAGUUUAGACCAAUAACAAAACUAAGAGUAAUUUGAGGAUGGUAGUUAACUUAGUUUCACAUAUUUAAGACUUCCCUUACAUUACUCUCUGUGUGGAAAUUCCUAAGGGGUUACUAACUUCCAAAACAUAUCUGAUGACCAUCUGAUUACAGAGUUAAACUUUGUGCUAAUGUGCUAACCAUUGCUCGGAUCUAAGUAAGUGUCAUAGUACAGCAGCUGAUAGUGUGGCACCUGAACAUUACAUCUUCAAGAGAAGAAAACUGUAUAUUGAUUGAUUGUGAUAUUUAUUGGGUCAUAAUGUAUUUAAAUUUUCUUUAAUGCAUAUGUUAGUGAUUGUUUACUGUGAUAAAGUGCAAAGAGGUCUUCAAGAGUGAUCCUGCAGAGGAAGAAUUACCUCAUGUCACUGGUCACUUCUCAAUUAAAAGUUCCAUUAGCAAAUGA
rnacentral:lncRNA from 10 species